rnacentral:sRNA from 1 species
UACAACUCUAUAGGGCAGGGUGGGCGGCCAAAAUCUCCCGAAAGGGGGUGAGGCUUAUGAGCGUGUAUCAAACACUUUCACUAAUGAUUGCAUUUGCGACGUUAGUCGUUUUGAUGCUCAAAGAUAUAAUGAAAAAGUAGCCCACCCUUACACGGAAGCUACUUUUUCGUGACCCUAUUGCCGCCCAUAACUGCGGUAGUUGUGCAGCUAGGAUGUUACCAGCAUCCUAG